rnacentral:rRNA from 1 species
UACAGAGGGUGCAAGCGUUGUUCGGAAUCAUUGGGCGUAAAGGGCGCGUAGGCGGCCAAGCAAGUCGAAUGUGAAAGCCCAGGGCUCAACCUUGGAAGUGCAUCCGAAACUACUUGGCUUGAAUCUCGGAGAGGGUGGUGGAAUUCCCAGUGUAGAGGUGAAAUUCGUAGAUAUUGGGAGGAACACCGGUGGCGAAGGCGACCGCCUGGACGAAGAUUGACGCUGAGGCGCGAGAGCGUGGGGAGCAAACAGG